CAGCUUGCUUCUUCGCUGACGAGUGGCGGACGGGUGAGUAAUGUCUGGGAAACUGCCUGAUGGAGGGGGAUAACUACUGGAAACGGUAGCUAAUACCGCAUAACGUCGCAAGACCAAAGAGGGGGACCUUCGGGCCUCUUGCCAUCGGAUGUGCCCAGAUGGGAUUAGCUUGUUGGUGGGGUAACGGCUCACCUAGGCGACGAUCCCUAGCUGGUCUGAGAGGAUGACCAGCCACACUGGAACUGAGACACGGUCCAGACUCCUACGGGAGGCAGCAGUGGGGAAUAUUGCACAAUGGGCGCAAGCCUGAUGCAGCCAUGCCGCGUGUAUGAAGAAGGCCUUCGGGUUGUAAAGUACUUUCAGCGGGGAGGAAGGGAGUAAAGUUAAUACCUUUGCUCAUUGACGUUACCCGCAGAAGAAGCACCGGCUAACUCCGUGCCAGCAGCCGCGGUAAUACGGAGGGUGCAAGCGUUUAAUCGGAAUUACUGGGCGUAAAGCGCACGCAGGCGGUUUGUUAAGUCAGAUGUGAAAUCCCCGGGCUCAACCUGGGAACUGCAUCUGAUACUGGCAAGCUUGAGUCUCGUAGAGGGGGGUAGAAUUCCAGGUGUAGCGGUGAAAUGCGUAGAGAUCUGGAGGAAUACCGGUGGCGAAGGCGGCCCCCUGGACGAAGACUGACGCUCAGGUGCGAAAGCGUGGGGAGCAAACAGGAUUAGAUACCCUGGUAGUCCACGCCGUAAACGAUGUCGACUUGGAGGUUGUGCCCUUGAGGCGUGGCUUCCGGAGCUAACGCGUUAAGUCGACCGCCUGGGGAGUACGGCCGCAAGGUUAAAACUCAAAUGAAUUGACGGGGGCCCGCACAAGCGGUGGAGCAUGUGGUUUAAUUCGAUGCAACGCGAAGAACCUUACCUGGUCUUGACAUCCACGGAAGUUUUCAGAGAUGGAAAGGUGCCUUCGGGAACCGUGAGACAGGUGCUGCAUGGCUGUCGUCAGCUCGUGUUGUGAAAUGUUGGGUUAAGUCCCGCAACGAGCGCAACCCUUAUCCUUUGUUGCCAGCGGUCCGGCCGGGAACUCAAAGGAGACUGCCAGUGAUAAACUGGAGGAAGGUGGGGAUGACGUCAAGUCAUCAUGGCCCUUACGACCAGGGCUACACACGUGCUACAAUGGCGCAUACAAAGAGAAGCGACCUCGCGAGAGCAAGCGGACCUCAUAAAGUGCGUCGUAGUCCGGAUUGGAGUCUGCAACUCGACUCCAUGAAGUCGGAAUCGCUAGUAAUCGUGGAUCAGAAUGCCACGGUGAAUACGUUCCCGGGCCUUGUACACACCGCCCGUCACACCAUGGGAGUGGGUUGCAA
rnacentral:rRNA from 1 species